rnacentral:lncRNA from 1 species
GGGGAGUUGAUAUACCAUGGAUUUUAUCCACUUUCAGUUAUGUAUAAGUGUUUUAAGAUAUAAUUAUUAUGUUUUGGAGUCUUUUUAGAGUAUUUACAGGUUCAGGUACGUUCUGGAGAAAUAUGGUGAUUUGGGAGCCUUUUGAGGUGCAGAACUGCACAGACGCGUCAUAUGUUUAUCUAUGUAUGGAGACCUUUCCACCGUUAUAUUGAGCCCAUCGCUUAACACAAGAUAGAUCUUUGCGUUAGCUUUCCAUUUCCGCCAGUUUGAGGUCAAUCAGCAUACUGUAGCAGAAGUUAUGCACGUUUUAUUGAAUGACUGUCGAUCGAUGAAACAUAAUUGGCGUCGGUCGACGGUGAUGCCAGAACGUGGGCCAAGCAUUAUUUCGAGACCGACUGAAGCCCAGAAGCCACACAAAGUUACCAAAAUACCCAUGGACGAACAUAAACCCUAUUUAUGUUAUUUAUAAGCCAUUGUUGACGGCUACGCUGUCUAAGCUUUCUUUAGUUCAUAGUUCUUAGUAACGAGAGAAAGGAGGAACUCCUUCAGAGUCCUCCUGGAACUCCUUUGGUUUAUCAUUGCUUUUAUCUAUUCUAUUAUAUCUAUUCAUCUAUG